GUUCGUAAUAUAAUCUGUGAGAAAUUUGCUUUUUUUGGCCGGCUCCGUUUCCCCACUUAAAGAAACUUUAUUUUAUGUAACGUAUAUCAUUAAUAUUUUUAAUUUAUUUCAGCUGCAACCAUGUAUGGUGACUAACUUGUAUGUUUUAAUUUCGAUUGUUUCCCUAAGGCUGGCUUAAGACUGGUUUACAUACGCAUUAAAAUGUCUGUAUAAUUCAGUAAUACUUGUUUUCCCAAAAUUGUUACAACCGCGAUCAAAUUAUUUUGUCCGGAGAACAAAUCUCUCAAUCCUAUUUUGUGUUCAGUAAUUAACCAUCCGUUCUUCGUUCCAUUUUCCCCAAAUAUUUUAUUUUUUCUUCCUAUCCAAAUCCAUGUUUUGCCGACUGGGAUUCAAUAUAUUGCCGACUACCUUAUUGACUGGGGGGG